rnacentral:rRNA from 1 species
AGUGAACGCUGGCGGCAGGCCUAACACAUGCAAGUCGAACGGCAGCGCAGCCCCGCAAGGGGUGGGCGGCGAGUGGCGGACGGGUGAGGAACACAUCGGAAUCUACCCUUUCGUGGGGGAUAACGUAGGGAAACUUACGCUAAUACCGCAUACGAACUACGGUUGAAAGCGGCGGCCGCAAGGCGUCGCGCGAUUGGAUGAGCCGAUGUCCGAUUAGCUAGUUGGCGGGGUAAAGGCCCACCAAGGCGACGAUCGGUAGCUGGUCUGAGAGGAUGUUCAGCCACACUGGAACUGAGACACGGUCCAGACUCCUACGGGAGGCAGCAGUGGGGAAUAUUGGACAAUGGGCGCAAGCCUGAUCCAGCCAUGCCGCGUGUGUGAAGAAGGCCUUCGGGUUGUAAAGCACUUUUGUUGGGGAAGAAAAGCCAGCGGUUAAUACCCGCGGGUUCUGACGGUACCCAAAGAAUAAGCACCGGCUAACUUCGUGCCAGCCGCCGCCGUAACAC